rnacentral:rRNA from 1 species
UACGUAGGGGGCUAGCGUUGUCCGGAAUCAUUGGGCGUAAAGCGCGUGUAGGCGGCUCGGUAAGUCUGCUCUGAAAGCCCGGGGCUCAACCCUGGGAGGCGGGUGGAUACUGCUGAGCUCGAGUCCGGAAGAGGCGAGUGGAAUUCCUGGUGUAGCGGUGAAAUGCGCAGAUAUCAGGAGGAACACCAAUGGCGAAGGCAGCUCGCUGGGACGGUACUGACGCUGAGACGCGAAAGCGUGGGGAGCAAACAGG